UUCACUUUAUCCCUAAAAGCUGACAGUAAAUUAAUUAAGCAGAUGUUAAUUACUCAUUAACAUUAAUAUUCUGUGAAAAUUUUGAAUUAAUUUUUGUUUGUUGAAUUGAAUCUUUACAGUUCAUUUGUGCGUACUAUGUUAAGGUUCCUUUUUAGCUGCUGUUAGUGAUAGGCACGCCUGGCAGGCAACUCACCAUCAUUCCCUCCACCCCGCACAAGCUUUCCUCUCCAUCUCUCUCUCUCUCUCACACUCACGCACUCACUAUAAGAAAAAAAUAAUUCUCGCGGUCUCAAAAUUCUCCGGUUUUUCCUUCCUACUUCAGAACCCACUCUUUUAUUUUUAUUUAUUUAUUUUUGUUAAACAAUUGGAUUAAUUUCGUCAUUAGAUUGGAUCGAUUGGGUUUGGUUCACAAUUAAUUUCAUCGAGAAAGCUAAUGACCAUUGAAGGUUUUUGCGGUCUUGUUUCGGUAGAAGUUGAAUAUAGGAAACUUUGAAGAAGUCAGGCUAACAACAUGUCUGUUUCAAUGAGAGAUGUGGAUCCAGCUUUUCAUGGGGCAGGACAAAAGGCUGGCAUUGAGAUAUGGUGGAUUGAAAAUUUUAAACCAGUCCCAGUCCCAAAAUCUUCUUAUGGUAAAUUUUUUAAAGGCGAUUCCUAUGUGAUUCUUAAG